rnacentral:rRNA from 1 species
AGUGAACGCUGGCGGUAGGCCUAACACAUGCAAGUCGAACGGCAGCACAGUAAGACUUUCUCUUUGGGGGUGGCGUGUCGGACGCGGGUGGAGUGUAUCUCGAUCUGCCCUUUUUUGGGGGGUAAACCGUAGAGACCGUUACUCAUAUAGCGUAUAAGCCACGCGGGUGAGAGGAGGGGCUUCUGGGAUCUUGCGCGCUUAUAUGAGGAGAUGUCGGAUUAGAUAGUUGGGGGGAUAAAGGCCCACCAAGGCGACGAUCCGUAGCUGGUCUGAGAGGAUGAUCAGCCACACUGGAACUGAGACACGGCCCAGACUCCUACGGGAGGCAGCAGUGGGGAAUAUUGGACAAUGGGCGCAAGCCUGAUCCAGCCAUGCCGCGUGUGUGAAGAAGGCCUUCGGGUUGUAAAGCCCUUUUGUUGGGAAAGAAAAGCAGCAGGUUAAUACCCCGCUGUUCUGACGGUACCCAAAGAAUAAGCACCGGCUAACUUCGUG